UUGCCUACGGGGGGCAGCAGUGGGGAAUAUUGCACAAUGGGGGAAACCCUGAUGCAGCGACGCCGCGUGAGUGAAGAAGUAUUUCGGUAUGUAAAGCUCUAUCAGCAGGGAAGAAAAAAGACGGUACCUGACUAAGAAGCCCCGGCUAACUACGUGCCAGCAGCCGCGGUAAUACGUAGGGGGCAAGCGUUAUCCGGAUUUACUGGGUGUAAAGGGAGCGUAGACGGCGCGGCAAGUCUGAAGUGAAAGGCAGGGGCUUAAC
rnacentral:rRNA from 1 species